rnacentral:rRNA from 1 species
UUUGACGUUAGCGACAGAAGAAGCACCGGCUAACUCCGUGCCAGCAGCCGCGGUAAUACGGAGGGUGCGAGCGUUAAUCGGAAUUACUGGGCGUAAAGCGCAUGCAGGUGGUUUGUUAAGUCAGAUGUGAAAGACCCGGGGCGUCAACCUCGGAAUAGCAUUUGAAACUGGCAGACUAGAGUACUGUAGAGGGGGGUAGGAAUUUCAGGUGUAGCGGUGAAAUGCGUAGAGAUCUGAAGGAAUACCGGUGGCGAAGGCGGCCCCCUCGGACAGAUACUGACACUCAGAUGCGAAAGCGUGGGGAGCAAACAGGAUUAGAUACCCUGGUAG